UCAGAAGCAUUUCUUCUUUCAUCAUGUUUCCCCUUCCUUGGGCAGUUGAAAAAAGAAUGAUUGUAUGCUGGUACUCAAUGUCGGCAUUUAGAAGUAGCUGAAAACAUGUCCGUGUGAAGGUUUGUAUAUACUAUAAAAGCAUUCUCCAGCUGCUGUGGUACAGUUAUAGCAAUACAUGUUACCAGCUGCCUUUUAACCAUCACGUUAGCUUUGACCACUCUUACCAAGGUUAGACAGUAUAACUGCUCCUGCGUGGCUCUUACAGGUGGAGCUGGAACGAUGUGAGAGCAAACACACGGAUACGAGACCAGAGAGGCCCAGCGCACUGCCGCCCGCUGCUGCGUCCUAGGCCCCUGCAGAGGGGGUCGUGGUCUCAGGCCUGCUGGGGAACUCGUGCGAAGGCUGUAGCAGACCGGGAUCAGUCCUGGUGGCUGCACCGUGCUUGAGCCGCUGGCAGGAGGGAUUGGUGCCAUGUGUCCGGAGGGCUCAGGACCAGGCCACGCGGCGUGGAGACGUUUGGGCAGCGUGCUGUUCAGGGCAGCUGCCCCAGCGUGGGAUGGGAGCCAGCCUGGCUGAGGUAGAUCCCUUUGGAAGAGGCGCUGUCCUAGGCCCCUGCAGAGGGGGUCGUGGUCUCAGGCCUGCUGGGGAACUCGUGCGAAGGCUGUAGCAGACCGGGAUCAGUCCUGGUGGCUGCACCGUGCUUGAGCCGCUGGCAGGAGGGAUUGGUUGAGAUUUGUCAGAAGUUGCCCCAGGACCUGCUGUGAUCUCAGUGUGUACUAGUGGGAAGCUAUCCUCCUGCUGAUGAUAGCCCUCUCCGUUGCUACUGUCUGUGAUCCCUUGUCUAAGCUACAACAUCCAUAUCACCCUGCAACAGCUCUUUGGUCUUUUCUCACAGCUAGCAGGGAGUGAUAAAUUGGUGUCCUGCCAACUCACAGAUGGAGGGUGGUGGGUUUUUUUUUUUUUCCCCUUCCUCAGUUUGAAGCAUUUAAUUGUAAUGGAUGCUGGAACUUGCUGCAACUUUAACAUAAUCUGGUGCUUCUGCCUGCAAGGGCAGUAUUCACCACCUGAGAAUUAAUGUUAUCUUGCUGCUAUCUUUAAAAGUACAGAAGUCUCACCUUAGAGAGGAGUUGUCAUGUAUGGGAGGGUGGCCUUGUGUUUAAGGUCAAUUCUCCUUUUCUAAGAGUGAGGAUUCAAAUCUUAGCUAUCCCCUGUUAACUCAGUAAGCUUUAGUAAUGUGUCACUGUCUGCCUGUAAUAUGAGGAAGGGACCUCAUGGGUGCUGUGGUGUAGUCUGAAUUUCUGUACUGUUUAGAGCUUACUUUUUAAUAAAAUCUGAGUA